ACAAGAGCAAAACAAAGAGAAGAACAUAAGUGUUAGGACAGAGAAAAAACUAUAGGGUAGGAAUUAUUGGACCGAUCGAAGACAGUAUCACACACCGGCACAUGGACUUCCUCUUUGGGACUCUUCAAGGAGAGUUGUCUUAUUACACAAAGAUACAUGUAUACGGCCUUGAUUAAUCCAAGAUGAAUGGGCAUGCCAACUUUGUCAUAAUUGCGCAUUCUUUCUGGGUGGUUAGGUUGAGAUUGUGGGCAUUAGUUUGUACAGACUAACUACGGUGUUGCUUCAUUCGCACACGUCGAUUGCUGAGUUUGUGGGCCCAAAAGUCCAUGUCUAAUCGACAGACACAUGUAGAUUAUGAUGAACAAC
rnacentral:lncRNA from 1 species